GGACCAAGCGCCUCCCGACCCCUGUACCAAACUGUUCCACCCUUGAGGACUGAAACGCUGUCUCUUGCGCGGCCCGUAUCGCUGUCGUCCGCUACGGCAUACACAACGCUAUUGGCGGUCUGACCUAAUAUCUGGAUCAUGCCCUCUGCAACCAAUUUGGGAGGCAUCUUAGAAAGAGCUUGUAAACCGGACAAUGAACCAGGGUGCUGUGUAUAUAGGACAUUGAACAGUCCUCUGUUUUGUGGGGAAGAAGCACUGAGCUGAACUUGGCAACAAUGAAGGAGAACGUUGAGAUGGGAUAGAAACACACCGCCGCGUACUUUGUCUAUUUG
rnacentral:sRNA from 2 species